rnacentral:rRNA from 1 species
CGGACGGGGGAGUAAUGUCUGGGAAACUGCCCGAUGGAGGGGGAUAACUACUGGAAACGGUAGCUAAUACCGCAUAACGUCGCAAGACCAAGAGGGGGACCUUCGGGCCUCUUGCCAUCGGAUGUGCCCAGAUGGGAUUAGCUAGUAGGUGGGGUAACGGCUCACCUAGGCGACGAUCCCUAGCUGGUCUGAGAGGAUGACCAGCCACACUGGAACUGAGACACGGUCCAG